rnacentral:rRNA from 1 species
ACGACUGCUAAGACUGGAUAGGAGACAAGAAGGCAUCUUCUUGUUUUUAAAAGACCUAGCAAUAGGUAUGCUUAGGUAGGAGCUUGCGUCACAUUAGUUAGUUGGUGGGGUAAAGGCCUACCAAGACUAUGAUGUGUAGCCGGGCUGAGAGGUUGAACGGCCACAUUGGGACUGAGACACGGCCCAAACUCCUACGGGAGGCAGCAGUAGGGAAUUUUCGGCAAUGGAGGAAACUCUGACCGAGCAACGCCGCGUGAACGAUGAAGUAUUUCGGUACGUAAAGUUCUUUUAUUAGGGAAGAAUAAAUGAUGGAAAAAUCAUUCUGACGGUACCUAAUGAAUAAGCCCCGGCUAACUGUGUGCCAGCAGCCGCGGUAAUACAUAGGGGGCAAGCGUUAUCCGGAAUUAUUGGGCGUAAAGGGUGCGUAAGCGGUUAAAUAAGUUUAUGGUCUAAGUGCAAUGCUCAACAUUGUGAUGCUAUAAAAACUGUUUAGCUAGAGUAAGAUAGAGGCAAGUGGAAUUCCAUGUGUAGUGGUAAAAUGCGUAAAUAUAUGGAGGAACACCAGUAGCGAAGGCGGCUUGCUGGGUCUUUACUGACGCUGAGGCACGAAAGCGUGGGGAGCAAACAGGAUUAGAUACCCUGGUAGUCCACGCCGUAAACGAUGAGUACUAAACGUUGGGUAAAACCAGUGUUGAAGUUAACACAUUAAGUACUCCGCCUGAGUAGUACGUACGCAAGUAUGAAACUUAAAGGAAUUGACGGGACUCCGCACAAGCGGUGGAUCACGUUGUUUAAUUCGAAGGUACCCGAAAAACCUCACCAGGUCUUGACAUGCUUCUGCAAAGCUGUAGAAACACAGUGGAGGUUAUCAGUUGCACAGGUGGUGCAUGGUUGUCGUCAGCUCGUGUCGUGAGAUGUUGGGUUAAGUCCCGCAACGAGCGCAACCCUUAUUGUUAGUUACCAGCACGUAAUGGUGGGGACUUUAGCAAGACUGCCAGUGAUAAAUUGGAGGAAGGUGGGGACGACGUCAAAUCAUCAUGCCCCUUAUGACCUGGGCUACAAACGUGAUACAAUGGCUGUUACAAAGGGUAGCUGAAGCGCAAGUUUUUGGCGAAUCUCAAAAAAACAGUCUCAGUUCGGAUUGAAGUCUGCAACUCGACUUCAUGAAGUUGGAAUCGCUAGUAAUCGCGAAUCAGCAUGUCGCGGUGAAUACGUUCUCGGGGUUUGUACACACCGC